GACGAACGCUGGCGGCGUGCUUAACACAUGCCAGUCGAACGGAAAGGCCCUGCUUUUGUGGGGUGCUCGAGUGGCGAACGGGUGAGUAACACGUGAGUAACCUGCCCUUGACUUUGGGAUAACUUCAGGAAACUGGGGCUAAUACCGGAUAGGAGCUCCUGCUGCAUGGUGGGGGUUGGAAAGUUUCGGCGGUUGGGGAUGGACUCGCGGCUUAUCAGCUUGUUGGUGGGGUAGUGGCUUACCAAGGCUUUGACGGGUAGCCGGCCUGAGAGGGUGACCGGCCACAUUGGGACUGAGAUACGGCCCAGACUCCUACGGGAGGCAGCAGUGGGGAAUAUUGCACAAUGGGCGGAAGCCUGAUGCAGCAACGCCGCGUGCGGGAUGACGGCCUUCGGGUGGGAAACCGCUUUCGCCUGUGACGAAGCGUGAGUGACGGUAAUGGGUAAAGAAGCACCGGCUAACUACGU
rnacentral:rRNA from 1 species